CGGUUAUACGAGAGGCCCCAGUUGAUAAUAUCGCGGCGUAAAGGGUGGUCAAGGGCUGCAACCUAAUAAAGCGAAAUAGCCCUCCGGCCGUCAUACGCUUCCAGGCGCUAGAAACCCAAUUACACGAAGGUAGCUUUAGCAAUAUUCACCUGACUCCACGAAAGCUGAGAAACAAACUGGGAUUAGAUACCCCACUAUGCUUAGCCAUAAACCCAGACAUCAAAAUACAGUUAUAUGUCCGCCAGGGUACUACGAGCAUUAGCUUAAAACCCAAAGGACCUGACGGUGCCUCAGACCCCCCUAGAGGAGCCUGUUCUAGAACCGAUAACCCCCGUUAAACCUCACCACUUCUGGUCAUCCCAGCCUAUAUACCGCCGUCGCCAGCUUACCCUGUGAAGGAAAGCAGAGUAAGCAAAAUGGGCACAACCCAAAACGUCAGGUCGAGGUGUAGCGCACGAAGUGGGAAGAAAUGGGCUACAUUUUCUACUGCAGAACACUACGGAUGCGUAACAUGAAAUAGUGCUUGAAGGAGGAUUUAGUAGUAAAAAGGAAGCAGAGUGUCCUUUUGAACCCGGCUCUGAGACGCGUACACACCGCCCGUCACUCUCCCCUGUCAAAAUGCAAUAAAUUUACCUAAUCACAAAGCGCUGACAAGGGGAGGCAAGUCGUAACAUGGUAAGUGUACCGGAAGGUGCACUUGG
rnacentral:rRNA from 1 species